CGGGGGGCCUAUCAUGAGCUGCAGUUUUUAUUUUAUACUGGCCCAUGAUAGGCCCACAGAU
ensembl:miRNA gmo-mir-11257 gmo-mir-11257